rnacentral:snoRNA from 1 species
GAAAUCAUGCUUCACAGGAUCUUUUCUGUGGUACGUUUUUCUAAGAGUUGACGCAGAGUCAAUCAUACCAAGGCGGUGAGGAUUAGAUACAGCCUCCCUUCCUGAGCGUGAAGACGUACUUCAACCUCCUUUGUGGGGUUGGAUGCUUGGUGACCGCCAGGAGGAUAUUUUGCACUCUGA